rnacentral:rRNA from 1 species
GAACGCUGGCGGCGUGCUUAACACCUGCAAGUCGAACGGAAAGGCCCUGCUUGCAGGGUACUCGAGUGGCGAACGGGUGAGUAACACGUGGGUGAUCUGCCCUGCACUUCGGGAUAAGCCUGGGAAACUGGGUCUAAUACCGGAUAGGAGCCAUUUUUAGUGUGAUGGUUGGAAAGUUUUUUCGGUGUAGGAUGAGCUCGCGGCCUAUCAGCUUGUUGGUGGGGUAAUGGCCUACCAAGGCGGCGACGGGUAGCCGGCCUGAGAGGGUGGACGGCCACAUUGGGACUGAGAUACGGCCCAGACUCCUACGGGAGGCAGCAGUGGGGAAUAUUGCACAAUGGGCGCAAGCCUGAUGCAGCGACGCCGCGGGGGGGAUGACGGCCUUCGGGUUGUAAACUCCUUUCGCUAGGGACGAAGCUUUUUGUGACGGUACCUAGAUAAGAAGCACCGGCUAACUACGUG